rnacentral:rRNA from 1 species
GAUGAACGCUAGCUACAUGCUUAACACAUGCAAGUCGAGGGACCGGCGCACGUGUGUGUCACACGUAUCCCACCUGCUCCUUACUCGGGGAUAGCCUUUAGAAAGAAAGAUAAAUACCCGAUAUUAAGGAUCUGGAUGCGUUCCAUUAGGUUGUGGGUGAGGUAACGGCCCACGAAGCCUUCGCUGGAUAGGGGUUGUGAGAGCAACGUCCCCCGUAGUGGAACUGGGACACGGUCCAAACGCGUACGGGAAGCAGGAGUGAGGAAGAAUGGGCAGUGAGCGUUAGCCUGAAACGGCCAAGUAGCGUGGAGGAUGAAGGCUUAUGGGUCGUAAUCUUCUGUGAUGUAAGAAUAUGUAUUAGAUGAAUAAGGAUCGGCUAACUCCGUGCCAGCAGCCGCGGUAAUAC